GAAAUGGCAAAGGAGAAGAAGUUCCCAUCACGGUUACUGAAGUAUACUAGUGAAGAUUUUAUGUAGCUGGGGCUACAGCAUUCUUUACAACAAUAAAAGAACAGAUUUGAGAAAGGCAAACAGGUUCAAAUGUCCAUGCUAAUACUAACCAGCUGAGUAACCUUAGACAAAUUAUUUAACUUGUUAUGAGCUUCCACUCUGCAAUCAACAAAAUGCAGCUGCCAUGAUGCAAAGAAGUCCAAGCUAUCUUGCUAAAAUUAGGAGCCACACAGAACGGCCCUGGAAGAUGAAAUACCACAUACAGAGAGAGGCCACGUGAAGGAGAACCAAAGCACCCAGCCAAGAGUCAGCACCAAAACACCAAUCCAGUGAGACAAGCCAUGUUGGAGCUUCCAGCCCAGCCCAGCCACCGUCUUUAAUCAGCUGCAUGAAUAACAGCCAUCACUAUAUGUAACAAGACCACCAAUCAACCCACUG